rnacentral:lncRNA from 1 species
ACUACUCAAUGCAAUCAUCUCUCAUCAGCUCAUUGCUGCUACCCAAGCACCUGUAGACAUGGAACCAAUGUUCAACAUUCUUCUCUAUCCCUUCACUAGAUUUGUGAUCCUCCUUGCAUUCCUUACCCUUUGGUUCGUAAAACCACAAGCCAUAGAGUAGGAAAAUAUUUACCAGAAAGAGAAAAGGAGUAAGCUUAAUAUAUAGUUCAUUAUGCCUUGAGAACAAAUUCAACAAUUUUUGUAGCCCCUUAUUCAGUUUAUCAGGUUUACUAUUUCUUACCUCCAAUUUUAUAUAUACUUCGGGCAGCGCCCCAACGCUCCAAGAACUUGUUGGCUAGCCUAUCAGAGUAUGUCAAGUUUGGAUCCAUAGUUGGGCCUACCGCAAUGAUACCCAAUCAGAAGAUUCAUAGCUAAAGUUUUCUAUAAUCUAAAAGAAAUCACUAGACAAUUUAAUUUUGGAUGAUAUUAGUUUGACUCCUAGAUGCUCUAAUCAGUCAAUACUAAAAACAUCUUAGGAUUUUAUUGAUACAUCAAACAACAAGCAAUGGUUAUGAAAAGUACACGAACAAAAGACAUAUGCAAAGAUAAAUGCAAUGUAGAAUCUUCUACACAUAAUAUACAAUACUUUAAAGCAUGAAUUGACGUACUCGACUGGAUACAUUCUAGUUUAUAGAACUCUUGUACACAAAAUACUUGACUUCACCCUCCUACAAAAUAACAUCAAUCAAACACAAACUACUGCUCAAUAGAGACAGGUAAAUGCCAAGUUAACAUUAGCAUGGAAAUCAAGAUAAAAUGCCAUAAUUUGCACCCAAAAAAAGAGAUUAUUGCUAUUCAAUACAGAAAAGUGAAGUAUCAUGCGAGAGGUUGAUGAAGCACUUUUUCAAGAAACUCAACACAAGAAAACUGAGCAUAAUUGAAGAAAAGGGUAUACCCUUAAUUGAUCUCUCACUGGUUCUAACCUCUGACCCCUCCAACUCCUUACAUUAUAAAAUCUUGUAGCAGAGUUAUGCUAACCGGGUAUGUUUUCAAGUGAUAAACCAUGAAGUUCCAUCAGUAUGCCGUGAAAAGAUAGAUGGAGAAAUUUUUCUUACAACCCAUAGUGGAGAAGUGACUACAGAUUAAACCUGUGAUAUAUGUUUCUAUAAUACAGAAACCCAUAAUAAGAAUGUUAGGGGUGGGAAAGAAUUUUUGAUUUUCUACAGUCUAGCAACUAUAGAUAUGAAACUCAAUAUUUAAAACUCAGAAUAACAUUCAUAAUCCACAAAAACACUACAAGUCAUUUUAUUUAGCUAUUGUCAUCCCUGAAAAGAAUCCACCUAACUUAGUAUAAGAGAGAUUAACUGAUAGAAAAUGGGCUAUAUUCAUUCUAGUUCUAUUCUUUUAGGAUUCCAAGAAAGAGAUGGGAGAAGAAGAGAUAGAGUUUCUUGAAUUACAUCAUAAAAUGCUGGAGGAGCAAAGUGAAUUGAUCAGAUUCAAAAAAGGAGCAGAGUCAUUGAUAAGAUUGACCUGCAACUAGCAAAGGAUUUUAUAUAUAACUACUGCAUCCUAAGAAGUUUAAUAUAUUUAAUUAGAAAUAGAAGAUAAUAACCAAUCACGAAAACAUAAAUCACAACUGCUACAAGGAACUCGGUAAUAGAAAAGCGAGUGAGUUAUUUUUUCUUAAGCAUAUGACAGUUAAAAUUCAAUCUAUCUAAUUCCAACAAGAUAGAGUUAGAAUAUUCUCUCUAGAAAUAUAUAGAUCAGACGAAAUUGUGUAACAACCAGAAUUAUUCAACAUAAAUAGUAAUUUAUAUAUACUAUAUUGAUCUCAACAACUAGAAUAUUGCAACUCUAGAACGUAAACAACAAAUGAAAAUGGCAGAACUACAUAAAUAUGAUAGGUAACCAGAAAGGGGAUAGGGAAUUAGAUUGAUUCAGAAAAGGACUUGAGAAGCACAAACUUUGGCUAAGCAUGAUCACAAUACACAUAAUUUUAAAAACUGCUAAUGACACCCCCUUUAUCCUUUUGUCACAUGCUUCCUAACUCAACCUGGAUUCCAAGCAAAUGUCUUCUUGGGCUGUCUAAUUCCUUGGCAUUUUGCUGUUUAGCACCAUGCCCAAUAGCUUGGCCAACCUUUGUCCAAACAACCGGCCCAUAAACAUAUCGGAGUUAUCCUUGUUAACAACAAAGUGGUAGAGGUACAAAGUUAUAAUACAUGUGCAGAUUAAAGUUGGAAAAAUAGUUAUAAGUUUAAUAUCCAACUAUUUUAUAUUUUGAACAAACUCUAACAAAAAAAGGAACUAAAGAGAGUAGAUAAUUGCAUUGGGUCAGCCACUCUAUGAAAGAAAUUCAAACAUUAAUCUCACUCUUUAGAUUAAGAACCACUCAAUUUUGAGGUAUAUUUUUGUAAAUGGCACAUUUAAGUAAGACAUACUAAUGAAUAUCCCUUGUUCCAGCUCAAGAGACUUCAAUAUAUGUAGCAUUUGAAGACUACUCAGCAUUUUCAAUUAUGUCGAAGAAUAUAGAGCAUUUCCCCUGUUAAUAAUUCAGUUUUGUUAAUCGACAAAGUGAGCAAAGUGUAUACUAGAAUUUUGUUAACUUAACCAUAAAAUAUGCAACUUUCAACAAGUAUAUUGCGUAUAAUUACAAUAAUAGCUUAAUAAUCUGUUCACAAAAGGAUAGUACCUCCAUGUUUCGAUCUUGAGCAUUUCAACCAAUAGCAAUGUAACAUCCAUCUGAAAUAAUCAUCUCACAACAAAUAUCUCGACUCUGCCACUGUAAUCAUUAGAAGUUAAAAUUGACAAACCCUAGUUGCUUUAAAAAGAUCAAAUAUGUUAUGCGCAUUCGCUUAGAAAGUAAUGAAAAUUUGCAUAGAUGUUCAACUUAGCAAUCACAUAGCACUAAUUGAAGCAAAUCAAACAGAGAAUGUUUGAGAUAACCAAAUCGCAUUUGACGAACAGAGCAAACAAAAUCACGAAGAACAGAAAACAUAAUAUAAACAAUUGUGCAUGUGAUUCUACAAUUCUAAGAGGCAGGGAAAGUACAACGCGUGGCGAACGAAGAGUGUGAUUCUUAUUCUGCAAGUUGACGGGCGGCGGCGAUGGAAUGGAGGAACAUACGACGAUGGUGGGAGCGGAGGCAUUUUGGUGAGCAGGACAAAGGGAGGG